rnacentral:lncRNA from 1 species
GCUUCAGAUGGGCUUGAGGUGGGUGAUAAAGAAGCCGAGGAACAGACAGGAUGGGGGCGGGGGCGUGUACACGUGGGAGCCUCUGUUCCUUCAGCAGCACUUCAUUCAGCAUAUUAUUAAAAGGAACCAGUUCUAGUGCACAGCUUCCAGGGAUGAGCAAUGGAGGACAGAAUGGAAUAGAGCAGGAACUAAGCAAGGAUGCUAAUGCAAGAUAUAGCCGCUGUCCUUCCCAGCUUUGGUGAGAGUUGGCUCUGACUAGAGCUGUCAGGCCUCUGUGAAGUCUCCUUGACUGAGUCCCUCUCUAUGAACAGGGUGGGGCCAAGAAACCACCCCA